GACGAACGCUGGCGGCGUGCCUAAUACAUGCAAGUCGAGCGAAGAGUUUCUGGUGCUUGCCCUAGAAAAACUUAGCGGCGAACGGGUGAGUAACACGUAAAGAACCUGCCUCAUAGACUGGGACAACGAUUGGAAACGAUAGCUAAUACCGGAUGACAGUAUUCCUCGAAUGAGAGAAAUUCAAAAGAUGGUUAUGCUAACACUAUGAGAUGGCUUUGCGGUGCAUUAGCUAGUUGGUGGGGUAAAGGCCCACCAAGCCGACGCUGCAUAGCCGACCUGAGAGGGUGGUCGGCCCCACUAGGACUGAGCCACGGUCCAGACUACUACGGUAGGCAGCAGUGGGGUAUCUUCCACUAUGGGCGGAUGCCUAGCGUAGCAACGCCGCGUGGGUUGAGAAGGAUCUCGGUUCUUAAAUCUAUGCUGUUUGUGAAGAAUGAAAAUGUGGUGUCCGUACAUGUUAGUGACGGUACCUAACCAAUAAGCAACGGCUAACUACGUG
rnacentral:rRNA from 1 species